GAUUAGCUCAGUUGGUAGAGCAACUGACUCUUAAUCAGUGGGUCUAGGGUUCGAGUCCCU
rnacentral:tRNA from 1 species